GGAUGUGUCUAUAUAGUAUCAGCCAGUUGGUAAGUUUAUGGCUUACCAAGGCCAUUACGCCCAACUGGUCUGAGAGGUUGAUUAGUCACACCGGAACUUAGACACGCUCCAGAUUCCUAAGGGAGGCAGCAGUCGGGAAUAUUGCGCAAUGGCGGAAACCCUGACGCAGCAACGCCGCGCGGAGGAUGAAACUUUUCGGAGCGUAAACACCUUUUCUCAUGUUGGAAUUCCGACGGUACCUAUGGAAUAAG
rnacentral:rRNA from 1 species